CAAAACCUACCACAACAUACAAAGCCUCUCAAACCCCUCUCUCGAAUAGCCUCCCCGAAUCGCCUCUCCCUCUCUCUCUCUCUCUCAUGAAUCCCUCAAUCCUUCGUGAAACCUCUCUCAGCCCUCUCUCCAUAGUUUCCAAUGCCACACUUAAUUUCAACCUUCUAAAUCCCUAAAUACCUAGAUCUUCCACCUCCACGGGGAGCCGACUACGAUGGCCUCGAUUCUGAAGCCGUCCAAUGAGGUGAGUUGGGAAAAUGACGACAACGAGCAAUAGCAACGGCGAUGUUUCGAUGGCGUUUCCGGAGAGGCAGAGGGCUCACUUCAACAGUGUUUUGAGAACGAUGUGUGUUUUCGCUGCUCAGGCGAUUACGGCGCCCAAUUCUGUGCUCAGUGAAGAGGCCUACUAGGGACCUUAUCACUUUCAGUUGAAGUCUCGAACUGGUCAUUGCUCUUGGUUGCUCUUUUCCACAUUCUGGGUUCGAUUCUUCAGUUGAAGUCUUGCUUGGCUCGUAAGAUCCGAAUUGCUGAAAGAGUAACUGCACUGGAAGAACUGCUUCCACAAUCUGUAGAGGAAACACCUGCUAUAGUCAAGUCCUGCUAUGACAAAAGAAUAAUUGGAUGUCCUGGUGUUGAAGGAGGUAAACUCCUCCAGCUGCAUCUUUUUCUUCCCUGCUGAACUUACACCAUCAGCAUUUGCAGCUUACUAUAAUUUUUGGAUAUAUGUCUGCUGAGGAUGAGCACGAUGCUAUGUGGUUUUGGCUGG